rnacentral:tRNA from 1 species
GGGCGUCUGGUGUAGUUUGGUUAUCACAAUGCGCUUAGCAUCGCGAGGUCCCCGGUCGAUUCCGGUGUCGUCCA